rnacentral:rRNA from 1 species
UACAGAGGUCUCAAGCGUUGUUCGGAUUCACUGGGUUUAAAGGGUGCGUAGGUGGGUUGGUAAGUCAGUGGUGAAAUCUCCGAGCUUAACUUGGAAACUGCCAUUGAUACUAUCAGUCUUGAAUACCGUGGAGAUGAGCGGAAUAUGUCAUGUAGCGGUGAAAUGCUUAGAUAUGACAUAGAACACCAAUUGCGAAGGCAGCUCGUUACACGAAUAUUGACACUCAGGCACGAAAGCGUGGGGAUCAAACAGG